UCGGAUAUGGUGUAGUGGCUAACAUUAUCGCCUCUCAAUUCGGAUCCAGGGAAUUGAACCCUGAGUUCUAAAAAUAGAUACGCGAUAGCCCGGGGUUCGAUUCCCCGUAUCCGAA
rfam:Schizopora paradoxa strain KTC8140 unplaced genomic scaffold SCHPAscaffold_00027, whole genome shotgun sequence.